rnacentral:rRNA from 1 species
AGAGGUCUCAAGCGUYGUUCGGAUUCAUUGGGCGUAAAGGGUGCGUAGGUGGCGCGGUAAGUCGGGUGUGAAAUCUCGGAGCUUAACUCCGAAAUUGCAUUCGAUACUGCCGUGCUCGAGGACUGGAGAGGAGACUGGAAUUCAUGGUGUAGCAGUGAAAUGCGUAGAGAUCAUGAGGAAGACCAGUGGCGAAGGCGGGUCUCUGGACAGUUCCUGACACUGAGGCACGAAGGCCAGGGGAGCAAACGGGAUUAGAUACCCCGGUAGUCCUGGCAGUAAACGGUGCACGUUUGGUGUGGGAGGAUUCGACCCCUUCCGCGCCGGAGCUAACGCGUUAAACGUGCCGCCUGGGGAGUACGGUCGCAAGAUUA